UACGUAGGGGGCAAGCGUUGUCCGGAUUCAUUGGGCGUAAAGAGCGUGUAGGCGGCCAGGUAGGUCGGUUGUGAAAACUGGAGGCUCAACCUUCAGACGUCGACCCAAACCCCCCUGGCUAGAGUCCGGAAGAGGAGAGUGGAAUUCCUGGUGUAGCGGUGAAAUGCGCAGAUAUCAGGAAGAACACCCGUGGCGAAGGCGGCUCUCUGGGACGGUACUGACGCUGAGACGCGAAAGCGUGGGGAGCGAACAGG
rnacentral:rRNA from 1 species